rnacentral:tRNA from 1 species
UCCCUGGAGGACUAGUGGUUAGGCCACAGCGCUCUCACCGCUGCAGCCCGGGUUCGAUUCCCGGCCAGGGAA